UAAGGUCUCAGUGACGCAGAGAAAUCACUAAGCACACCGCCUGGGGAGUACGGCCGCAAGGUUAAAACUCAAAGGAAUUGACGGGGACCCGCACAAGCGGUGGAGCAUGUUCUUUAAUUCGAAGCAACGCGAAGAACCUUACCCACACUUGACAUACCUAGUAUGACUUUCGGAGAUGAUUGUCUUCAGUUCGGCUGGCUAGGAUACAGGUGCUGCAUGGCUGUCGUCAGCUCGUGUCGUGAGAUGUUAGGUUAAGUCCUGCAACGAGCGCAACCCUUAUCGUAUGUUGCCAUCAUUUAGUUGGGCACUCGCGCGAGACUGCCGGUGACAAGCCGGAGGAAGGCGGGGACGACGUCAAGUCAUCAUGGCCCUUACGUGUGGGGCUAGAAACGUGCUACAAUGGAUGUGACAGUGGGCAGCCACUCCGCGAGGAGGAGCUAAUCCUCAAACACAUUCUCAGUUCGGAUUGUACUCUGCAACUCGAGUGCAUGAAGUUGGAAUCGCUAGUAAUCGCACAUCAGCAUGUUGCGGUGAAUACGUUCCCGGGUCUUGUACACACCGCCCGUCAAGUCAUGGGAGUUGGUUCUACCCGACGGCCGUGUGCUAACCAGUUUACUGGAGGCAGCGGACCACGGUAGGAUCAGCGACUGGGACUAAGUCGUAACAAGGUAACCAAGGGCGAA
rnacentral:rRNA from 1 species